rnacentral:rRNA from 1 species
GACGAACGCUGACGGUGUGCUUUAGACAUGCAAGUCGAACGAGAAAGCCCUUCGGGGUGAGUAAAGUGGCGAACGGGUGAGUAACACGUGGGUAACCUGCCCCUCGCAGAGGGAUAACCGGGGGAAACCCCAGCAAAUACCUCGUACGCUUGCCGGGUCGCAUGGCUCGGCAAGGAAAGGUAGCUUCGGCCAUCCGGCGAGGGAUGGGCACGCGGUCCAUUAGCUAGUUGGUGGGGUAACGGCCCACCAAGGCGACGAUGGAUAGCUGGUCUGAGGGGAUGAUCAGCCACACUGGGACUGAGACACGGCCCAGACUCCUACGGGAGGCAGCAGUCGGGAAACUUGCGCAAUGGGCGAAAGCCUGACGCAGCAACACCGUGUGGGCGACGAAGGCCUUCGGGUCGUAAAGCCCUGUUGUUGGGGACGAAGGACGAAGGGUUAAUAGCCCCUAGUCUGACGGUACCCUUCGAGGAAGCCCCGGCUAACUACGUGCCAGCCGCCGCAGUAAGAC